AACGAACGCUGGCGGCAUGCCUAACACAUGCAAGUCGAACGAGACCUUCGGGUCUAGUGGCGCACGGGUGCGUAACGCGUGGGAACCUGCCUUUAGGUUCGGAAUAACUCAGAGAAAUUUGAGUUAAUACCGGAUAAUGUCUUCGGACCAAAGAUUUAUCGCCUUUAGAUGGGCCCGCGUAAGAUUAGCUAGUUGGUGGGGUAAAGGCCUACCAAGGCGACGAUCUUUAGCUGGUCUGAGAGGAUGAUCAGCCACACUGGGACUGAGACACGGCCCAGACUCCUACGGGAGGCAGCAGUGGGGAAUAUUGGACAAUGGGCGAAAGCCUGAUCCAGCAAUGCCGCGUGAGUGAUGAAGGCCUUAGGGUUGUAAAGCUCUUUUACCCGAGAUGAUAAUGACAGUAUCGGGAGAAUAAGCUCCGGCUAACUCCGUGCCAGCAGCCGCGGUAAU
rnacentral:rRNA from 1 species